GUGCCAGCAGCCGCGGUAAUACGAAGGGUGCAAGCGUUACUCGGAAUUACUGGGCGUAAAGCGUGCGUAGGUGGUUGUUUAAGUCUGUCGUGAAAGCCCUGGGCUCAACCUGGGAAUUGCGAUGGAAACUGGGCGACUAGAGUGUGGCAGAGGGUAGUGGAAUUCCUGGUGUAGCAGUGAAAUGCGUAGAGAUCACCACCAACAUCCGUGGCGGAAGCGACUGCCUGGGCCAACACUGACACUGAGGCACGAAAGCGUGGGGAGCAAACAGGAUUAGAUACCCUGGUAGUCC
rnacentral:rRNA from 1 species